rnacentral:rRNA from 1 species
GGCCUACGGGACGCAGCAGUGGGGAAUAUUGCACAAUGGGGGGAACCCUGAUGCAGCGACGCCGCGUGAGUGAAGAGGUAUUUCGGUAUGUAAAGCUCUAUCAGCAGGGAAGAAGAUGACGGUACCUGACUAAGAAGCCCCGGCUAACUACGUGCCAGCAGCCGCGGUAAUACGUAGGGGGCAAGCGUUAUCCGGAUUUACUGGGUGUAAAGGGAGCGUAGACGGCAGGGCAAGUCUGGAGUGAAAGCCCGGGGCUCAACCCUGGGACUGCUUUUGAAACUGCCGGGCUGGAGUGCAGGAGAGGG